GACGAACGCUGGCGGCGUGCCUAAUACAUGCAAGUUGAGCGCUGAAGGUUGGUACUUGUACCAACUGGAUGAGCAGCGAACGGGUGAGUAACGCGUGGGGAAUCUGCCUUUGAGCGGGGGACAACAUUUGGAAACGAAUGCUAACACCGCAUAAAAACUUUAAACACAAGUUUUAAGUUUGAAAGAUGCAAUUGCAUCACUCAAAGAUGAUCCCGCGUUGUAUUAGCUAGUUGGUGAGGUAAAGGCUCACCAAGGCGAUGAUACAUAGCCGACCUGAGAGGGUGAUCGGCCACAUUGGGACUGAGACACGGCCCAAACUCCUACGGGAGGCAGCAGUAGGGAAUCUUCGGCAAUGGACGAAAGUCUGACCGAGCAACGCCGCGUGAGUGAAGAAGGUUUUCGGAUCGUAAAACUCUGUUGGUGGAGAAGAACGUUGGUGAGAGUGGAAAGCUCAUCAAGUGACGGUAACUACCCAGAAAGGGACGGCUAACUACGUG
rnacentral:rRNA from 1 species